UCGACAUGUAAGUACAUUAAUAAAAACUUCAAAUACCAUCUCUGUGAUUUUGCAUUUUCUCACUUUAGUAUCCUGUGGUUUAAAGUGUAUCGAUUUAGUACUCCGUGGUUUUAUUUUUUCUUUUUUAUUAUCUCCUUCACUAAUUUUUUUUUUAUUAAAUCAGUGACAAAGUUAAAACUAAAAGAGACUAAAGUAAAUAUUCGAUAAAUUUAGAUUGGGUAUGAAAAGUUUUUUUUGUAUAUAAUUUAACGAAAUAUUAACAGAGGAGUUGAUGAAAAGAAAAAAAUGAAAUCACAGGAUACUAAAUUGAUACACUUUAAAUCAUAUGGUACUAAAAUGAGAAAGUGCGAAACCACAGGUAUGGUAUUUGAAGUUUAUCCUAAAUUUUUAGUAGUAAAAAAAAAGAUAAGACAAGUGACAAAAU
rnacentral:lncRNA from 1 species